rnacentral:rRNA from 1 species
UACAGAGGUCCCGAGCGUUGUUCGGAUUCACUGGGCGUAAAGGGUGCGUAGGUGGCCAUGAAAGUUUGAUGUGAAAUCUCCGGGCUUAACCCGGAAAAUGCAUUGAAUACUCUGUGGCUGGAGGUUUGGAGGGGGGACUGGAAUUCUCGGUGUAGCAGUGAAAUGCGUAGAUAUCGAGAGGAACACCAGUGGCGAAGGCGGGUCCCUGGACAACACCUGACACUGAGGCACGAAAGCUAGGGGA